ensembl:lncRNA Fendrr FOXF1 adjacent non-coding developmental regulatory RNA
GGGAUCCGGAGAGUGGCUUAAGGUCGUGCAGUGCCACGAAUCGCACAGGUUCCCUAGCAGGCGGCUCCGUGCACUCAUUCAUGAAGGAGCGCACACGCGUGCAUUAACACGCGCCCAGAGCGCACACACAACGAUGCCCCCAAGCGAAUCCGCAAAUCACCAACUCAGACGCUCGGGCUUGCACCCAGUGCGCGCCCCACUCACUCUCCCUAGGGUCCCCCGGGAGCUGCCACUCCCAGAUCUGAACAUAGCAAAGUCUCCUCAGAGCCCCCUCCCCCAACGCUUGACUCUGAAAUCCGCUUAGUUGGCCCCGCGGCCCCGUGUCCCCUUUUACAAGCGCAGGUUCUGAUUUCCUGAGAGAUGGCAAAGUCCCGGGCAGGAAGUUUACAAGGCUCAACGUAAACACGUUCCGGGGGAUCCUUUAAUAAUAAGAGUAGAGAAGCCCGCGGGCGCGGGGGGAGUUGGCCUGAUGCCCCUAUGGGCUCGGCCUGCCGCCGCCGCGGGGCCUCCGAUGCUGCGCGCCAGGCCGGGUUCCGGAAAGCGGGUGGCGCAGGCGGGGAGCGCGGUAGGGAGCGGCCCUGGCUGCGGGGUCGCGGCCGUGGAGAGGUGGUGCGGGGCGCAGGACCGCUGAAGAUCCCAGCUGGACUCUGCGCGCCCGAAACCAGCUCUGCCACCCUGAGGACGAAGCCUCCCACUGAAGCCUCCUGCACGUGAACUGGAGGAAGAGAAGUAUCAAUUCCAGGACCUCAGCCUUCCUGUCUACCUAAGGGCAGAGGUCAAGGAUAGAAACAGAAUCAAGAAACAUUUAGAACAUAGUCCCGGGCUUCUGGGCAUCUCGAGAUCUGCUCACAGGGCGCAUCCCUAACACUCAUCCCUGUACCCAGCAGCUUCUCUACCCUGCGUGCUAGACAUUGCAUACAGAAGAAAAGGACAAAGCAGACCUCCAGACGAACAGGAUCCAGAGUGACCAGAACCAGACCAGAAAUCCUAUGACGACAUCACAGGAGGGGCCAACGUUGGGCUUGAAGAUGAUGGAGACAUUUUCAGGGAAGACCUUCCUGAUCUGCAGAGGUACAGGACAGUGGUUACACGCAUGGGGUGCUGGUCCCUAAAGGAAGAGGCCUGGGACCCCAUCACCUCACACAGAAAGACCCACUUCUCUCCUGUCCAGGCCUGUGACCUGAUCCACAGCUUUUGACCCUAUGAAGCAGACCUCAGGUCCCAUCAGAAAACAGUUGCUUUCUGAAACCGCCAUGCCUCUCUCUUUUUUUUUUUUUUUUUUUUUGGUUCUUUUUUUCGGAGCUGGGGACCGAACCCAGGGCCUUGCGCUUCCUACCUACUACCUUGAGAUCCUCUACAAAGCUCCCCUGCAGCCAGAGAACCAGCUGCACAUUCAGCGGCCGUGUGACAGAUGAAAAUGUCCUACUCCCACACCGUGGCCUGUCCUGGUGUCAGCCUCUUCGUGCUCAGAAAGAAUGAGGCACCUACAACUGCUGGCCCAGGGUGGGAUUUGAACAGCUCCAGUUAUGUAACGUGUCUAUCACUGAGAUGUGUACUGAGCAUCAACUUGAUGGGACUCAGACUCACUAAGGAAACAAGCCCCUGUCUGGAAACUUCUAGAUCGUGUUCACUAAAGUGGGAGGAGCCACCCUGUGUGUUGGCAGUACCAUCUCGUCAUGGUCUGGGGUCCUGGACCUAAUGAAACGGAGCAAGCAGGCUGAGGACCAGCAGUCACCACUCUCUGCUUCCUGACUGUGGAUGCCAUGGGACCAGCUGUCUCAUGUUCCUGCCGCCAUGCCUCCCCGCCAUGAUGGACUGUAUCCCCUCACACUGUGAGCCAAUGUGAACCCUUCCUUCUUUAAGGUGUUUUAGUCAGGUGUGUUAUAGCAGUGAGAUAACAACAAAUACACUGCAGACACGCACGUGCACGGUGUGCAGGGCUGGUGUGGACUACACACUCCCCACUUGUCUAGCUAAGCUCUCGGCAUCUCCUUCAGCCCCUUUUCUAGAAUGAUCCGCUUCUAUUCCUCUGCACCCUCCUUUGGCUCAUAAAAUAAAGUGCAGAUUCCAUCACUGGACAUAAUUAUCACCCAUCCCAAGUUGGUACAUCUGUAUCCUGUCACAACUGGACUCUGCCCUUACCCCUAGAUCAUGGAGCUCCAUUUCUGCCCAUUUGGAAGCAGCUUGCUCCCUCCUUUGCAGCCCGGAUGGGCGUAUGUAGCUCUUCGAGCACAGCUGGGGAGAAGCGAGAACUGGAAAGCACCAUACGCAAGUCUGAACACCAGUGUCAGGGUCCAUGCUGCAGAUUCGAAAAGGUCUGAGGCAAAGGGAAACACCUCUGGGAGCCUGAGUCAAGCACUGCACAGGGUGGGCGAGCCUGUGUGAGCAGAGCCUGGUGCUUUGGGUCUUUCUAGCACGGGGCUCUGUCCUGUGCAGCCCUGGCUUCCCUUCACAGCAAGCGGAGGGUAAGAAGAGCAGCGAGUUUCUGGCAGAGGAAAAAACAUGGAACGCCCAACCACAGAAUUCCCAAAAACAUUGCUAAGCAUUAAUUUCGCUAACAUGUUAGAUGGCACGCAGGUCUCCGCAGGCUCAUUCCUGGGCUAGACACAGUUCCCAAAAGCCAUCUGAUUCCACAUCCCCCCUGGCCAUGUGUGGAUAAUGAGCAAAGCCAUCUGGGCUGGCCCUGGCCUUCCAGCCACUGGGGCCAGGCCUUCCCCAGCUCUGGCCCAGGCCUGCCCAUGGGAUACCUUAGGCACCCUCCUCCGCCUGUCUUCCUGCCCUUGGUAAAGACCAGGGCAAAUAUGCUCAGAGGGGUUCUCGAGCCCCAGUCCCACAGGCCCAAAGUGGCUCCGCCUCCCAACCAUGCAGUGUCUCAUGGGGGACAGACUAAAGGAAGAGGCUGCUGGAGUAAUGUCUCUUAGGUCUUGACUCACAAACAUCAUUUCCAUGGUUUUCUUUG